CAGAGAAUCACUCUGCCAUUUGGUGGCAGGCCAUGGGUCAAUUGCUGCCAUUUUGUGGCAGGCCGUGUGGUUAUUCCACCAUUUUCUGGCAGGACAUGGGGUCAUUCAUCACCAUUUUGUGAUAGGCCAUAGGAUCACUGCACCGUUUUGUGGCAGGCCAUGAGGUCUUUCCACCAUUUUGUGGCAGGCCAUGGGGUCAGUCACUGCCAUUUUGUGACAGGCCCUGGGCUCACUCCGCCAUUUUGUGACAGGCCCUGAGCUUGCUCCGCCAUUUUGUGGCAGGCCAUGGGGUCAUUCCACCAUUUUAUGUCAGGCUACUUGUCAGUCCGCCAUUUUGAGGCACAUGUGUUUUUCAAGGGUUCUGUGUCUGCUUGUGUUUUCUCACGAGCCUUUGACAUAAAUCUGCUGUUGCUGGGAACUGGGAAGAAUGUCCUUGCAAAGGAAAUUGUUCUGCGAACCAUUGAUCUGUGUGCAGAAUUCAAGCACAUGUGCUGUUUCUGCUCCGAGGACCUGUUCUCUUGUCCUGCUACACCUGUGUGACCACACCAGCUGCAAGACAUGAUCUAGUUAUGACUGAGAAUCUGCCUGACCCUGCUGGGGUAGCUGACUUUUUCUGACUCUGCCUUCUCCAAGUUACUGCUCUUCAUGCAAAAGUCAGGAAAAAGAAGAAAUCUGGAUGUCCCUGACACUACCAGCACAGUCCCUCUGUCCUGCUUCCAUUAGAUCUCUUGCAAGGAUCAUGCUUAGAAGUUAAGUUUUGGUGAAGAAAAAGCAGAAAACAGUAUUAUCAGUAUGAGAGAUGCCCUGGGCUGGAGGAUUGGGUGGUUUGAGGGGCCAGGCAGCGCCUUGAGAGCUUUUCACCUGAGCACCCCAUCCCAGCGCCACUGGAAGCGGUCACUGACAGAAGGUUGGAAGGAGCCAUGACUCCAUGUCUGUCCCUGGGAGGUAACAGAACCGGGGAGGAGUUCCCAGGCAUGGUCUGAUUGUGCUGGAACAAGAUCAAGACAGGGAAGUUGGAUUCCCCUGAGUGCAGGAUGCACAAUUGUUUCAGAAAGAACCUGGUCUAAAGUUAAGGCUACCAUAGACCAGUUCAUUUGAAAUAUCAAAGUCCCUAAAAGAUGACAGAAAUAUGAAGAGUGUAAGCAGAUCGAUUUCUGAAGGUCUAAUGAUAAGGCUUUGCAAGAUGGAAAAAGCUGAAAAUGGACCUGAGGGCGAGCACAAAAGGAAAUGCAAUAUGGUGCUUCCAAAAGCAAUCAGUCAGGAGAGAAUUAUUGCAAACCUGGGCCCUUCAUGGGAGGAAGCUGCACAGGAGGCAGAAAUGAGUGAAAUGACCUAGAGAUGACAGUGCCUGUAAAAAUACAGUGAGUGCUAACGAUGCAGGACAGAGGGGAAAAUGCAAACACACCACGUUACAGAUCAACAAAUGGACAGGUCCUGUUUUUGGGGCACCACUGAGAGCAGCUGCAAGUGCCUCGUUGGCAGAUAUUAGUGGGAAAGAGAAAGACCCUGUUUUUUGAGGUUUUUCCAUACUGGGAAGGUGCUGCCAUUUGAGACUGCUGGGUUCUCUACAGCACAUAUCAGGUGUGAAAGACUUACACAAAAGCACUUCAGGCUUCUUGGACACAGUUUUCAUAGGGUUUCAAAAUCCCUCCCUACUGACUGGUCUGAAAUUAUGAAGUGAACUGCAGACAAAGAAAUGGAUUUUUUUUGUCAGUGAUUGCUCACAAUCUGGAUAUUACGGAAAUUUCAGAGUCACCUGGAGGAGUCUGAAACCAUUCUGUCCACUCUUGGCAAGGAAAGAUUGUGUCCCAGACCUUAGACUAGAAGCUCUUCCAAAGGAACCGCUGGAUUGCUCCUGUAAUGACUGUUUUCUCGAUAAUGGGGAGAUUCUCAGUGUGGGAAGGAGAAGCCGAAGAGCAGAAGGGCUGAAGAGAAGAUACCUGUAGCAACGUGCAGCUUG